rnacentral:misc_RNA from 1 species
AGAAAAGAAACUAUGGGUAUACUGCUAAUACUACUUAUAUGAAAGGAGAAACUUGUACCGGUUUACCAAACUACCGACAAGCCUAUCCAGAAAGCGAGACAAUGCUCCACUACCUACUAACAUUCUAUCCUAACUCUCCUAUCUAAGGUCUUGUCCUCGACAAGCUGAAGUUGCACAUGAUUUGUUAAAAUAUUAUGAAUAUUU